rnacentral:rRNA from 1 species
UACGUAGGGUGCGAGCGUUAAUCGGAAUUACUGGGCGUAAAGCGUGCGCAGGCGGUUCGUUAAGUCAGAUGUGAAAGCCCCGGGCUUAACCUGGGAACUGCAUUUGUGACUGCAUAGCUAGAGUACGGUAGAGGGGGAUGGAAUUCCGCGUGUAGCAGUGAAAUGCGUAGAUAUGCGGAGGAACACCGAUGGCGAAGGCAAUCCCCUGGACCUGUACUGACGCUCAUGCACGAAAGGCGUGGGGAGCAAACGAGG